GGGGCGACUGGGCGCGCGCAGCGCCGGCCACCGAGGCUCGCGGUUUGGGCUCUGGGAACGCCAGGCUGGUGAGGUGAGAAAGCUGGGUAGAGCGUUGAAACGUCGGAACUCCUUGACCUCCUCCGGAAAACAGGAAGAAAGGCUGCGAGGUGGAGGCGAGGAGAGCAGAGGGAAUGGAGGGGACAGCGGAGGCUGAGGGACGCGAGGCACCUGCCACGCUGAAGGAGACCGGUGCGGAGCUGGCGCGGCGGCUGGAGCGGCCUGGAGCUUUGCCGAGGACCCACGUUUGGCUCCCGGCGCCCGGCGCAGCGCACACCGUCCAGUCCCGGGGAAGCCCGCGCCCUCUUCCGACCCCCGCGGCACGAGGCACGCGGACAAGGCUCUCGUACGCGUAAAAGAAAAUGAGCAGAACUCGCCUAAAGUGAAUGAAAGUGUCAACAGCUUGUGUGGAGCCGUGGCGAAGUGGGCGCUUGAGUACCGAGGAGGUCAAGAAGAGCAUCUGGAGUGAUGAUGACGUGGUGUGAAUGAGAACACCCCCCCACCCCCGCCCCCGGCUGGUGGGGUGUUUGCAUGCUUGGUCCCUAGUUGGUAGGGCUGUUCUGGGAAGGAUUAGGGCUGCGGCCUUGCUGAGGAUUAGGGGUUGGGCUCAUGAGGGUUCCGAAGUCCCGGCCAGGCCCAGCCCUCCCUCUUCCAGCCCUCCCUCUUCGUCCUCCUGCACCACAGUUGCCUGAGGCCACGCUCUGCGCCAUGAUGGUCAGCUCACCCUCUGAAGCUGCAAGCAGCCCCCACCUAACCGCUUCCUUGUCUAAGUUGGCUGUGGUGUCUCUUCACAGCAGUAGAGCAGUGAGGAAGACAUGGUGACAGCCUUCAUUCUGAGGGAGGCUCCAGCUACACAAAUGCAGGGCUCUAUCUGAACAGUUGAAUGCAGAAUGGACAUAGAGGAAAAGAAACCAUUAAUGCCCCCCCCCAUACCUCCUGACUUUCUCUCGGGUCUCUAUAUGGCACCUGCAGACCCCAGUGAGCCUCAGACCUGCAGUGGGCACACCCCACACCCUGCCAAACCGAUCUAGCCCGAUGCCCGUCCUCAGACCACUACCCUGUCCCAGUGUGUGUGGUCUUUGCCUGGGCUACUGCGGCCCCAGUGUCCUGCUGCCCUUGUGCCCUGUGACUUCUAUGGAGUCUUCUACUCCUUCAGAGUUAAGGCACAGAUUUAACCCUGGCUCAUUUAUUUUCAAAAACUGUCAGUGACUAUUUCCUAUGAAGAGUUUUGAAUGCUUUGGUUUGGCAUCUGUGGCUUUUCAUACUCUUCCUCAGCCUGCUUCUUUCUUUUCUUUUUUUUUCUUUUCUUUUCCUUCCUUUCUUUCUUUCUUUCUUUCUUUCUUUCUUUCUUUCUUUCUUUCUUUUCUCUUUCUCUCUCUCCCUCUCUCUCUCCCUCUCUUUCUUCUGUGUGUGCUUCUUAGUAGCACAACAGAAGCUACUGUCAGAAGUCAGAGCAGGAGCUUAAAUGCGACCAGAGGCAGGGCCCGGGAGGAGUGGGCUUGCCUCUUACAGAACCCAGAACUACUUCCAAGGAUGCCACCACCCACAGGGGCUGGGCCCUCUCACAUCAACCAUUAACUAAAACAAUGCUCUAUAGACAUGGCCCCAGGCAAUCUGUUGGAAGCAAUUCCUCGAGAUUCCCUCUUCCUAGAUUUUAUAUCUAUAUAUCUAUCUAUCUAUCUCUCUAUAUAUAUUUGUGUCAAGUUGACAAAAGGAAUCAGCACCCUGAGCUGCUAACGACCAAAAUUAUCCCAGAAGGUGUUUGGAUUUGAGGCCGGAGAUGCAGAGUCAAGUCUUUGUCUUCUUAAUAGUUGUGGGAUUUGAAGAAACUCUCUGAAGUGUGUUUCCUAUGGCAGUGAUACGAAAGCAUAAAGGUGAAAAUGCCUUUGAAUUUAAUGUCUUUCCAGAAAGCCCUACUUAAAAACAAAACAAAACAUAUUGGGACUAGAGAGAUGGCUCAGCUGUUAAGCACAUGCUCUUAUUCUAGAAGACCUGGGUUUGGUUCAGGGCGCCCAUAGAGCACCUCAAAAUCAUCUGUAACCCCAGCUCCACCGAAUGCCCUCUUCCGGCCUCCAGGAGCAAACGCAUGUGGUACGUGAGCACAUAUGCAGACAAACAGUUGUAAAAGAAAAACAAGCAGCGGCUGCCGAGACGACUCAGAGCUUAAGAGCACUGCCUGCCCUUCCAGAGUUCCCGAGUUCACUUCCCAGCACCCACGGUGGCUCUCACCAUCUAUAGUGAGAUCUGCUGCCCUCUUCUGGCCUGCAGGUAUACAGACCAGCAGAACACUGUACAUAAUAAAUAAAUAAAUAAAUAAACAAAUAAAUAAAUAAAUAAAUUUUAAAGAAAAACAUCUUUUAAAAAGAUGUUUCUUACAAAGCAUGGGGAAGCUUCCAGGGCACAGAGUGGUCUCACAGCAGUUGGAAGGGCUCUUCGUUGGCUGCUUAGCCUUUGCGUGGGAAAAGCCUGCUGCUGACCUGUGGGAGGUGGGCUGCUCUGGUGGCUAGCUGAAGGGAGAUUUUAUCAGGACACACACUGAAGGUUACUGGUAGAAUCAGAAGAUGAUGUCACUGACUAUGCAUUGUUUUCUUCAGUGACAGGUCAUAGAAGAGUUGCGUGGGCCUGGGGUGCUGCCCAGUGGUAGAGUACCAGCCUAGCACGCGCCAAGCCUCAUGACACAAAAAGCAAAAGGCAUCAUUUGGAGUCAGGCACGCUGUUACAUGUACCAGUGCGUGAGAGGCUAAUGCUGGAGAGACCGAGUCUAGCUUAGGCUACACAGAGAAACCCUGUCUCAAAAAAAGAAAGAAAAAGAAAGGAAGAAGGAAGGAAGGAAGAAAGAAAGAGAAAGAAGAAAGAGAAAAGAAAAGCACUUAAGGUCGAGGACUUAAGAUAGAACUGUGUUUUUCUUUUUUACAAGAACAGAACAAACCCUGCAGUGUAAAUGGGAAGGCGUUAAAUUUGGGUAGCUAUCAAACCUCACCUCAAAAAAGCUAGGGUUCAUUUUGUCUAUUUAAGGAUACACAUCCUUAUGUCUUCUUUAUAAAUAGUAACGCUAACUUGCUGUUGUUAAAACAUUACCAGAACUGAAGUGUGCAUUCUUAGAAGGGCUAAAUUUAUAGCCUUUCAUCACUAUCUUUCUUAGAAGUUCCACUUGAAAAAUCCUGUUUCUUCCUUUCUGCUGUUCCCUCCUGCCUUUUCUUCCUCUUUUCUGUUUCCUUAAGUGCUCACUUCACUAGACCCCCACGUCCACCAUGGUCCCAACACUAAGGCGGAAGAUGCUGAAGCCACAGUGCCUCCUGGGGUCUUCCUCAGUACCUCAGGGCACCGUGAGGCAGAGGGCGGCCUUGCAGAGGAACACCCCGUCCUGGAUCGGCAUCAAUAUGUCCGAGUUGAAGGGCCUUGAAUCUUUGGUAAAUACUAAACUCUCCCGAGAAACACACAAGCAGCUCCAUCUAACACCCACCCGAGUGGACACUCAAGUAAAGUGUGUGGAGAGUGACGUUUUGAAUUUCAUAGGAUCUUCAUGUCGGGAAAUGUUUCAUGUCAGAAAAUGAUCCCCCCCCCUCUCACCUAAAACUGUGAAACGAGGUCGUUGAUUCGGCUCAGUAGGACCGUGUGCUGCAGAGUCCUCAGUAUUUGCCUCCUCCACACCAGGCUCUAAGUCCAUCGAGUAAACUGGCCAUCGCGGCACCUGUGGAUAACCUCAGCUCAGAAGGUGGAGGCAUGGGAAGGUCAGGGCUAGGAACAGGCUCAGCCUGUGGAGUGUAAAGGUCCGCUGUUAAUCUCUGGCCUCCGUGUGAGCAUGAGUGUUCAGCCUGGCACCCUGGAACACCAGCUCACCCUGGACUACAGAGGGAGCCUGAGACAGGUGGCUCCGCAUGAGAUCCUGUCCGAGAAACACAAGAACAAAAGGACGUCACCCAAGUUCAUGGGUUGUAUAAAAGCCCGAGCUGACCCCGGAGGUAGAAACUUGAAGUGCUCUUUGUUUAUCGGGGGUUGGGGGGAGUGGGGGGUUAGUCUUUGAGAGGGAGAGACAUGAAAAAUAAGCCACAAGUUAUGUUCAUCAGGCACUAUUCUGACCCUAGCGCACACACUGAACCCUCGGCCAGAAAAGUAGCUGCUCAGGAGGUUUCCACUGCUGUGACAAAUAACCCAAGAGAACCAGCUGGGGGCGGAGGAAGCCUGCUGCAGGGGGUCAGGGCGGAGGGAGCCUGCUGCAGGGGGUCAGGGCGGAGGGAGCCUCACACAGUCAGGUGGGAGGCAGUAAGCCGCGGCCAGAGUGACAGCGACCGAGCAGAGAGAGCAGAGCUGCUCCAUUCCUGGUGCCUGGGAGGGACGAGAAGCAGGCAGGGGUCUCUCAAGGGCGUGCCCUCCCCUCGGCCUCCCUCCUAACGGUUCUGCCACCUCCCGGGUAAAACACAGGCUUUGGGGGUGGUCAGGAUCCACAUCGUAGGACUCGGUGUUGUCCCCACUGUGCAGGUGGGUAGAUGGGGCACAGAGACACUAAACCGUUGGCCGCGCCUCGGAGGCAGGACCAGUCCCUAGCCAGCUGUCACAGCUUGCUGCGCUGCCUUUCUGGGGAAAACACUGGGGCUCAGAAAUAUUAUCGCGCGAAAAAUCUUUGUCCUGCCAGGCCUUAGGCAUUCGGUCAGAAAGCUCCCAAAUGCGCAAAGUUAGGUUUCCAUGUGGAGGCAAGGGGACAGGCGUCACUGUCGCCAGCAGGGCGCGAUGUCGCACACCUGUAGCCUAGCACUUGGGAGGCAGAGGCAGGCGGAUCUCUGUGAGUUCGAGGCCAGCCUGGUCUACAGAGGGAGUCCAGGACAGCCAGGGCCACACAGAGAAACCCUGUCUCAAAACACCAACAAAACAAAACGACAACAAAAAGAAGUCACCACCGUCAAAGCUGCCCUCGCAGAGGGGAAUGACUUUUGUUCUCUGCCUCAGAGAGACUUGGCAUUUCCUAUUAAACUCCUGUUUGCCAAAUUUAUAUCUGUGCAAGUACUAAAGCCAAAAGCCGAAGCACCUCCCAGAGCACACUCAGACACAAGCUCGUGGCAUUCCUAGGACUGGGCGGUCAGGACUCCCAGCCCUGCCCGGAGGAGGUCUUUCAGGCUGCGAUGGCCUGUCGCUGCUGUGGGAACUGAGCCUCCUGCUCAGGCCCACACAAACGCACAUCUCGUUUUUCCACCCACACCAUUUUCUGCUGAAAUACCUAAAGGUGAUUUAGGGAAGAGUGAUUUAAUCCUGAACCGCGCCUGUCUGCUGCUGUGAGGGCACACCCUGACGAGGAACCCGAGGAAGAGCUCGCUUCACCUUCCAUCUUGGAAGUCUGUCACGGAGGCAGCCAGGGCAGGAGCUCAUGCAGGAGCCUGGAGGCAGAACUGAAGCACAGGCCAUGGAGGGGCCCUGUUUGCUGGCUCGUUCCCCUGGCUGUCCUGGACUCUCUUGGUAGACCAGGCUGGCCUCUGCCUCCCUGAGUGCUGGCAUCAAAGGCAUGUGCCACCAAGUCCAGCAAUACUUUUAUUUUUAAACAAAAUAAAUUACCUUAUCUCUAAUAAUGGUAAAAGACAAAUAAUGAAUUUUGCUGUGAUUUAUGGGUUUGUUUUGGAGUAUGUUGUGUGCACACAUAUGUUGAA